AUUGAACGCUGGCGGCAGGCCUAACACAUGCAAGUCGAGCGGAUGAAGGGAGCUUGCUCUCUGAUUCAGCGGCGGACGGGUGAGUAAUGCCUAGGAAUCUGCCUGGCAGUGGGGGACAACGUUUCGGAAGGAACGCUAAUAACGCAUACGUCCUACGGGAGAAAGCAGGGGACCUUCGGGCCUUGCGCUAUCAGAUGAGCCUAGGUCGGAUUAGCUAGUUGGUGAGGUAAUGGCUCACCAAGGCGACGAUCCGUAACUUGUCUGAGAGGAUGAGCAGCCAAACUGGAACUGAGACACGGACCAGACUCAUACGGGAGGCAGCAGUGGGGAAUAUUGGACAAUGGGCGAAAGCCUGAUCCAGCCAUGCAGCGUGUGUGAAGAAGGUCUUCGGAUUGUAAAGCACUUUAAGCUGGGAGGAAGGGUUGCUGAUUAAUACUCUGCAAUUUUGACGUUACCGACAGAAUAAGCACCGGCUAACUCUGUGCCAGCCGCCGCGGUAAUAC
rnacentral:rRNA from 1 species